rnacentral:lncRNA from 1 species
CCUAAAAUGUAUUCUUCGAGCCAGAAAUUACAAGUGAUUAAAAUUAAUGACUAAAGUGUCACACGUCUCACAGUUCGAAUUAGAAAUUAUAAUUAAUUAAAAUUUAAAGACUAAAGUAUCGCGCACCUCAUAGUUUGAGGAUCAGAAAUGUUAGUUAGCUGAACUUUUUUUUUUUUUAUAGGGGCAAUUGCUUAUUUAUUCCUAAAAAAUUUCAAACUUUUCUAUUUACUCCUCUUAGAAAAUUAAUAUAAAAAAUAUUCUUUUAACGUUUUAAGUUAUUUUAAAUGUACCCUACAGUUAGAUUCUACAAGUAAACUGAUAGAAACAGUCAUUAUUUUUGUAAAAUUACUAUUUUGGCCAUUCAAAUAUAUCCUUAUAUCGUCACCAAUUUUUCUUUUAUGCCCUUAGGUAGGGGUAAAAGAGGUAUUGUAAUUUUUUGUCAAUUCUGAUAGAAAUUUAAUCCGAAUUUAAUACAAUAAUAUGACUUAAUGGAUACUAAUAGUGAAAUUAUUUUUAAAUAACGGAGACAUAUGUGGUAUAUAUAUUUGAAAUAAACAUAU